GAUGAACGCUGGCUGCGUGCCUAAUACAUGCAAGUCGAGCGACCAGACGAGGAUCUUUCUCCUUUCACGUUAGCGGCGGACGGGUGAGUAACUCGUGCGUAACCUACCUAUACUACUGGGAUAACUUCGGGAAACCGGAUCUAAUUCCUGCUAAUAUUUCUACCUUCAUGGUUCCCUAUUGAAACAUGGCUCUUCUAUCUCUUAUAUAUGGACCUGCGCCGUAUUAGCUAGUUGGUAAGGUCACGGCUUACCAAGGCAACGAUACGUAGCCGACCUGAGAGGGUGAUAGACCACACUGGAACGGAGACACGGUACAGACUACUACGGGAGGCAGCAGUAGAGAAUCUAACGCAAGGGGAGAAAGGCUGACGGAGAAAAGCCGAGUGAGUGAUGAAGGUCUGCGGAUAGUAAAACUAUACUAUUAGGGAAGAACAAUCGAGUAAGUAACUGUGCAGGUCUUGAAGGUACCGAAUCAGAAAGCAACGGCUAACUACGUG
rnacentral:rRNA from 1 species